GGGGCUUAGCUCAGCUGGGAGAGCGCCUGCUUUGCACGCAGGAGGUCUGCGGUUCGAUCCCGCAUAGCUCCACCA
rnacentral:tRNA from 1 species